CCAUAAUGUAAAAGAAUCAUAAUGAGCAGUAAUAAAAAUAAGUUAUAAACUCAAACUUUAUGGCGGCAAAUAAAAACUACAGGGGAACUUACUUCAUAAAUGAUAAUCACCAAGAAAUGUUACUUUCUAUUAUUUUAGUUUGUAUACCGUCGUUAAAAAAGGACCCAUAAAGGGUUUUUAAGAUAUUUCAUUUUAAGGUAUUAUAACAGAUCAAGGUGCAGCAUAUAAGAAAGGAGAUCAGCGAGUUACAAUAAUAAUUUUAUUUCCAGCGAUAGGUAGAAUUGACCUAUAAAAAGAUGGACUUGUAAGUAUAUGUAAAAUAUAUAUAAAUUUAGAAUAAGAUAUUUAUUUGUGC
rnacentral:rRNA from 1 species